GCCGUCGCCUUCCGAUCCGCCACGCCGUUACCGGACUUUCCUCUGCCGCCAUCACCAGAAAUGGAUGCUAAUGUAAGGAAGCAUCAAUGGACUGCAUUGGAAGAUUCAAAGCUAGUAGAGUGUUUAUUGGAUAUGGCUAAUAGUAGAAAAUGGAAAGGAUAAUGAUACGUUAUGUCUGGUUACUUACAACAAUUGAAGAAAAUAAUGAAUGAAAAGAUUCCCCAAUGUGGGCUUAAAGCACAACCACACAUUGAUUCUCGUGUAAUUGAAAUGUUAGGCCCUGUCAGUAGUGGCUUUGGUUGGAAUGAUAAGGAUAAAUGCAUUGUGGUUGGGAAAGAUAUGUUUGAUGAGUGGAUUAAGAGUCACCCAACUGUGAAAGGCUUAAAAAAGUCACCCAACUGUGAAAGGCUUAAAAAACAAGCCGAUUCCUUAUUAUGAUGAGUUAGGACUUGUGUUUGGAAAGGAUCGUGCUAAUGGACAAGGUGCAAUGGGAUUAACUAAUAUGGUUGAUGACAUUGAUAAAGAAACAAAAAAUGAUCUUGAUUAUGAUCCAUUGCUCAUGUCUGAUGAGCACAUGGAUACUGCAAGUAUUGGCGGUCCUAGCAUGCAAACAACUUCAACACUAUUAGCAUCAGGAAGGUAAAAGAGAAAGAGAUCUCAAUGUGGAGAUGUAUUAGUUGAUACUUUAACUGAGAUAGUACAGAAAUUUUUUGAUAUGUAUUUUAUUGCUGGUGAGAAUGUUCUUGCGCAGCUAAGGAAAUGUACUUGCAAUAAGUUCUUAACAACUCAGGAAUACACUUCUACGCCAGUUAUGGAUAAUAACUG